rnacentral:rRNA from 1 species
GGAGUGCGCAGACUACACAUGCAGUCGAGCGAGCUCUUCGGAGCUAGCGGCGGACGGGUUAGUAACGCGUGGGAACGUGCCCUUCACUGCGGAAUAGCCACUGGAAACGGUGAGUAAUACCGCAUACGCCCUUCGGGGGAAAGAUUUAUCGGUGAAGGAUCGGCCCGCGUUAGAUUAGAUAGUUGGUGGGGUAACGGCCUACCAAGUCUACGAUCUAUAGCUGGUUUUAGAGGAUGAUCAGCAACACUGGGACUGAGACACGGCCCAGACUCCUACGGGAGGCAGCAGUGGGGAAUCUUGGACAAUGGGCGCAAGCCUGAUCCAGCCAUGCCGCGUGAGUGAUGAAGGCCUUAGGGUCGUAAAGCUCUUUCGCCAGAGAUGAUAAUGACAGUAUCUGGUAAAGAAACCCCGGCUAACUCCGUGCCAGCAGCCGCGGUAAUACGGAGGGGGUUAGCGUUGUUCGGAAUUACUGGGCGUAAAGCGCACGUAGGCGGAUCAGAAAGUUGGGGGUGAAAUCCCGGGGCUCAACCCCGGAACUGCCUCCAAAACUCCUGGUCUUGAGUUCGAGAGAGGUGAGUGGAAUUCCGAGUGUAGAGGUGAAAUUCGUAGAUAUUCGGAGGAACACCAGUGGCGAAGGCGGCUCACUGGCUCGAUACUGACGCUGAGGUGCGAAAGUGUGGGGAGCAAACAGGAUUAGAUACCCUGGUAGU